rnacentral:rRNA from 1 species
GAUGAACGCUGGCGGCGUGCUUAACACAUGCAAGUCGAACGGGAUCCAUCAAGCUUGCUUGGUGGUGAGAGUGGCGAACGGUGAGUAAUGCGUGACCGACCUGCCCCAUACACCGGAAUAGCUCCUGGAAACGGGUGGUAAUGCCGGAUGCUCCAGUUGAUCGCAUGGUCUUCUGGGAAAGCUUUCGCGGUAUGGGAUGGGGUCGCGUCCUAUCAGCUUGACGGCGGGGUAACGGCCCACCGUGGCUUCGACGGGUAGCCGGCCUGAGAGGGCGACCGGCCACAUUGGGACUGAGAUACGGCCCAGACUCCUACGGGAGGCAGCAGUGGGGAAUAUUGCACAAUGGGCGCAAGCCUGAUGCAGCGACGCCGCGUGAGGGAUGGAGGCCUUCGGGUUGUAAACCUCUUUUAUCGGGGAGCAAGCGUGAGUGAGUUUACCCGUG